rnacentral:rRNA from 1 species
UACGGGGGGGGCAAGCGUUGUUCGGAAUUACUGGGCGUAAAGGGCUCGUAGGCGGCCAACUAAGUCAGACGUGAAAUCCCUCGGCUUAACCGGGGAACUGCGUCUGAUACUGGAUGGCUUGAAUCCGGGAGAGGGAUGCGGAAUUCCAGGUGUAGCGGUGAAAUGCGUAGAUAUCGAGAGGAACACCUGCGGCGAAGGCGGGUAGCUGGGCCGACACUGACGCUGAGGCGCGAAAGCCAGGGGAGCGAACGGG